GGAAUGGGGAAGACGGGAGAAAGAGCCUGGGUGUGCAACUGAAUCUCACCUUGGACACUCACUGGCCAGAUGGGACUGCGGGCCUCCCUUGGUCUGAACACCUCGCCACAGCAGCUCUGAGUGGCACCGAGGUGGAGGGGCAGGCACCCCUGGACCCUCAUCGCUGUCUGAGGUCUGAAGUGGCAAGCUUGGGGAUCUAGUCAUCUUGCUCCCUGGUCCUUUUCUGGUCUUGGACCUGUUUCUUGCUAAAAAAAACAAAAGA
rnacentral:lncRNA from 1 species